UACGGAGGGGCUAGCGUUGUUCGGAAUUACUGGGCGUAAAGCGCGCGUAGGCGGACCUGCAAGUCGGGGGUGAAAGCCCGAGGCUCAACCUCGGAACUGCCUUCGAUACUGCGGGUCUCGAGUCCGGGAGAGGUGAGUGGAAUUCCUAGUGUAGAGGUGAAAUUCGUAGAUAUUAGGAAGAACACCAGUGGCGAAGGCGGCUCACUGGCCCGGUACUGACGCUGAGGCGCGAAAGCGUGGGGAGCGAACAGG
rnacentral:rRNA from 1 species